AGGUGUGUUGUUUAUUUCAUCUUUUGUGUUAGCAGUGGUCAUUGUUUAUUGUGUUGGGUUUGUUAGUAGUUGUUAAUUCACGUGCGACGAUGACAGUUCACGCAAGACUGAUGACUCGACACCGAGACACGCACUGCAUGCUUUUGGACUACGCCCUUUAUAACUAGAUUGUUCCUAAUUGUCAGAUUACGAUCAGCUUUCAUCAGAAGCAGACAGUCAGUACUAUUUUAUCCAAUUAUUCUGCAGAGAAUCGGUUGAUUAUUAUAUAUAUAUUUUAUACACUACUGCAUUUCCAGUGUCUGAUCAAAUAGAUAUUGUGGAUGUCUGGUUUUUCCAACUGGUCUACAAAUAAAAUAUUGGAACCACAA